rnacentral:rRNA from 1 species
GCAGCAGUGGCGCUGCUACUCUUGUCGUGAAAAUACAAAACGACUCUCGGCAACGGAUAUCUCGGCUCUCGCAUCGAUGAAGAACGUAGCGAAAUGCGAUACUGGGUGUGAAUUGCAGAAUCCCGUGAACCAUCGAGUCUUUG